AUGCAUCUCUGACAGAGCUGGAGCAGUUAAUGUCUACUGCUAGGGUUUCCACUACAGAUGCUUGAAAAAGAAGGUCCUCGUGCUUUCUGUCUGUCUGGUUGUGGCAGCAAGAUUGAAUGGAGGAAUACAGGA
rnacentral:snoRNA from 1 species